UCCCUGGUGGUCCAGUGGUUAGGACUCUGUGCUUUCGCCUCCAAGGGCUCAGGUUCAACUCCUGGUUGGGAAA
rnacentral:tRNA from 1 species